UACGGAGGGAGCUAGCGUUGUUCGGAAUUACUGGGCGUAAAGCGCACGUAGGCGGCUUUGUAAGUUAGAGGUGAAAGCCCGGAGCUCAACUCCGGAAUUGCCUUUAAGACUGCAUCGCUUGAAUCCGGGAGAGGUGAGUGGAAUUCCGAGUGUAGAGGUGAAAUUCGUAGAUAUUCGCAAGAACACCAGUGGCGAAGGCGGCUCACUGGCCCGAUACUGACGCUGAGGCACGAAAGCGUGGGUAGCAAACAGG
rnacentral:rRNA from 1 species